GUUGAAAAGAACUUUGAAGAGAGAGUUCAAGAGUACGUGAAACCGUUCAGGGGUAAACCUGAGAAACCCAAAAGAUCGAAUGGGGAGAUUCAGCGUUCAACGGCCCGUCUGGCUUGCGUGCGACGUCACGAUGUCGCGGUGUUAUGCGCCCUCGCCGGUGUGUAUAUACCGUGACACGUCGUCGCUGCGUCAUGACCGGCGCCGUCGGCGUGCACUUCUCCCCUAGUAGAACGUCGCGACCCGUUGUGCGUCGGCCAAAGGCUCGAAGGGUAGACUAUCGCGCUCUCUCCCCGGAGGGCGCGGCAGACCCUCGAAAGCCCGGCCCGACUGCUCGACGGUAUUCGAAUAUCACAAGGUGUGUAAUCGAGAGCCGCAUUUGAAUGCGUUCGGCGCGUCGGUCGGCUUCGGCUCGCUCGGUUAUUUUACGGACCUGGAUGCCGUUACUGGGCGCUUGCCGAGGCUUUUUGUACCGACGACGAUCUCGGACCGGCUCUGCGCGCGCGAAAGCGUUCGCGCUCUCGCGCGCUCACCUGUCGGCGACGCUUUUGCUUUGGGUACUUUC
rnacentral:rRNA from 1 species